UUGUGUGCUACAGACGGUGCCGUGUUCCCGUUACAGCACCCAACAUGCUUAUUAACUAAACUCAAACAUUCGUCGGCACGUGUAAAGUACGGAGACACAGCAGCGCACGACGCUGUCAUUCGCUGCCCCCUCAAUGGCUUUGCUGAAUGCCCUCCGAGCUGUCAGACGCUAUCUGAGUCCCCUCUCAACAUCUAAAUCAUGGCUCUCUACCAAAGGCUCCCUGCUGGGGGACAAGAACAUCCUGCUCAUGGGUGCUCCUGGCGCAGGGAAGACCACAGUGGGGAGGAUCGUGGCCCGCCGACUGGGUCUGCCCAUCAUUGACGUCGACGACGACGUCUUGGAGGCGGCGUGGAAGAUGCCCGUGGCGGCCAAGCUGGCGGCGGUGGGCGGAGAGCGUUUCCUGGAGGAAGAGGGCCAGGCCCUGUGCGGCUUCUCUGCCUCCGGGUGUGUCGUUUCCCUCACGGGUUCGAACCCCCUCCACGCCGCAGCGAUGCGCCGCCUCAAAGACUCCGGAGUGGUCGUCUACCUGGACGUGGACGGCGAGGACAUCGUGCGGAGACUCGCCGGGAUGAAGGUGAACCGGAUUGUGGGCCAGGAGGCGGGGGCGUCCGUGAGGGACAUCCUGCGGCGCAGGAAGCCGUUUUACGAGAAGUGGCUCGACGUGCGGGUGCUGUGCGGCCGAGGGGCCGCGGCGGAGGAAGUGGCGGAGAAGGUGCUGGAGGCCGUGGAGAGGCACGGCGACCGCGCCGCCGACGCCUUCGUGUCCACCAGGAGCGCCGGCGAGGCACCGGCCCGCCCGAAGACGCACUUCAGCGACGCGGUCGUCGAGGGUCUCGCCGCCGACGGAGGCCUCUACGUUCCCAAAAGAGGCUUCCCGAGCGUGGACGCUGGCGAGUGGCUGAGGCUGGUUGACAUGUCGUACCCGGAACGGGCGUCGGUGCUCCUGGAAAAGUGCAUCCACCCGUCGGACGUCCCCGCGUCGGACCUGAGAGCGAUGGUCUUCGAGGCGUACGGGUCCAACUUCUCCAGCGAGGCGGUGGCGCCGGUGAAACACCUGGAGCGCAACCAGUACGUCCAGGAGCUUUUCCACGGCCCCACCGCCUCGUUUAAAGACCUCGCCCUGCAGCUGAUGCCCCGGCUCUUCGCCCACUGCCUCCCGCCCAUGUGCAACUUCCUCGUCCUGGUGGCCACCUCCGGGGACACGGGCAGCGCGGCGCUCCACGGCUUCGGCGGCCUCGGCGCCGGCGCCGACCGGACCGGCGUGCUGGUGUUCUUCCCGGAGGAAGGCGUGAGCGAGACCCAGAAGCUCCAGAUGACGGGCCGCCGGGAGGGCAACGCCAGGGCCGUCGGCGUGCGGUCCGACUUUGACUUCUGUCAGAGGAGCGUGAAGAGGAUGUUCGGAGCGUCGGGGCUGACCGGGCACCUCGCCGCGGAGCACGGCACGGUCCUCAGCACCGCCAACUCCAUCAACUGGGCGAGGCUUCUGCCGCAGGUGGUGUACCAUUCCUCCGCCUAUCUGGACUUGUGCAGAGACGGCGUCGUCGCCUUCGGGGAGCCCGUCGACGUCUGCGUCCCCUCCGGUAACUUCGGCAACGCCGUGUCGGCCGUGUACGCCAAGCAGAUGGGCGUCCCGAUUCGGAGAGUCAUCUGCGCGUCCAACCGCAACCGCGUCCUCGCGGACUUCUUCGCCACGGGCGAGUACGAUGUGCGGGGGCGGCCCCUGACGCCCUCCCGCUCCCCGGCAAUCGAUAUCCUGAAGCCCUCCAACCUGGAGAGGUUCGUCCACCACGCGUCGGGCGGAGACGGCCGCCUCGUGGCGGAGCUGUUCGCGGGCUUGGACGCGCGGCAGCACUUCCGGGUCGCCGAGCCGCUCCUCCGGCGGAUGCGGCGGGAGGUGCUGGCCGGCUGGUGUUCCGAAGGCGACUGCCUGGCCGCCGUCCGGAGCGUCCACGCGCGGACGGGCUACCUCAUGGACCCGCACACCGCCGUGGCCAAAGUGGUGGCCGACAGGCUGCAGGACGGCUCGUGCCCCGUGGUGCUCUGCGCCACCGCCCACUACGGGAAAUUUGCUCCCGCCGCGUUUGAGGCCCUGGGAAUCCUCGACGUUCCAGAGGACCCCGUGGAGCAGCUGAGGCGCCUCGGGUCGGCGGCGUCGGCGCCCGCGCCGCACGGCGGCGUGAUGAAGUGCCUGGAGGAGGGAGGCAGGGCGGGGCACGCCGUGUGUCGGGCAGAUUACGCCUUGUUGGUCGGAGAGGUGGAGCGCAUGAUCCAGGACUCCUUCUUGAAAGUGAUGUAGGAUCAUGGCAAAUUUAUGAAGUAGCAGAACAACAAAUUGAGUGGAAAAUGGGGCAAAUUAUGUCAUAAAACUUAAGAAAGUGUGCCAGUUUUAAGCAGGAAGGGUCAUAAGAUAAAUUACAAAAUAAUAAUUUAAUACUUGCAGGAUUAAUAAAAUACAUUUCAACAAAACAGCCACUGUGGUUAUUCUAUAAUUGAGCUCUAUUAUGCGGUGUCUCUGGUACUCUCAUCCAAUCAGGCAUCUACCUGGACAGCUAGUCAGCUACCUGGCUGGAGGUAGAAAUGGUUAUUAUUAUUUAAUUCAAAGGAAAACCUUUUGAACCACACCAAUACUUUUCUCUCUUUCGUGAGCUUCUCUUUUGCUAACAUUCAGAAACUAAUAUUCUUUAAUAAGACGGCGAGGGCAGUUUUAGUUUUUUUUUCUCUACCACAGAAAACAUCUGUGAUUGAGAUGGAAAGAAAAAAAUACAAUGUAUUGUGGAAAGAAGUGAAAGGUAAUGUAUUUAUAAAUAAAUAUAUGAAGAUAUACUUACCAGACUUCAAGCACAGACAUGUUUCUGAGGUGUAUUUGGGGUGAAUAUAUGGACUUUAUUAUAAUACAAGCUUUCUAUGUGUGCUCCAACAAAGCCCUUCAGACAUCUGUCAGCGACUCUCUAUUAUCUAACGUGAUUGUAUUUUUAUUUUUUAUUUGACACUUUUAAAAAAAAAACAUAUAAACGUGCAGUCGUCCGACAUCAAGAGAAUAAUUAAUUGUGCAAGACAUGUCUUCUUCAUGAGAAGAGACUCCCUAACAACCGCUCAGCGGGUUUCCAACCUGUCUCCCAUGUGACAGGCGCCGAACGCUCACACACACGGCGAGGAGAGGAAACUCACGCGAGUGAAGCAACGCGAGUAAAGCAUCGCGAGAGUUCGCGAUCAGCUCGGAGCGUCUCGCUCUCUCAAGUCUCGUCUCCUCUGGGUUCCUCGUGCCCCUGACGUGCUCCCGCUCCCCCGACUAUCGAUAUCCUGAAAUCCUCCAACCUCGAGAGGUCACACUCCUGGAGACAGUUUGGGGCCGGUGCAGAGAACCCGACCCCCCCCCCCCCUGAGGGCUCUGAGGGGUCCAGUGGGUCCAGUACCACACCACGUGUGUGGGCUGGGAUGAGGAUUAUUUUAAAUGUUAUUUUUGUCCACUUUG